GGCCGAGAUCGGCCGAUGCGAGGGCAAAUGGGAGGAUGCGAAACUCCCGGUUCCACCGGCCCCGGCCCAGAGGCCAAGGGUCACACAAACGACAUGGUCAUUGCCCACGCUGCCGUUCCCAGGCACAGCCCCAGCCUGCCCCACCUGCCAUGCAGCUCCCUGCCCCACACCCAGCUGGCCUGACCCACUGGAUGGCAGGAGGGAUAAUGGAGGCCAAGGUCCAGGCCCAGCCAGGUUCACAGGCUGCACUAUUGGUACCAUUUUUGUGCUGUUCACUACCAUGAGAAGCCUGGCUCCCACAAGAGGUUAACAUUAUGCAAGAUUUCAACCAGCAAGAGGAACGUGCCUAGUAGUGACCUGUUACCUGCUGAUGACCUUUAAAUCUACCAGAGGACCCCAGGGGAUGGCUGGAUUCCACAGGGAUCAAGACAACCCUUGUGAGACAGCAAACCAGCUGCAGGACUCCUCUAGGCUUUCCCCUCAUAAUCCAGUAGGAUGAAAGAAUGCACAGACACAGCAAGCAGGCAUGGAUCUGGACUACAGAGCAGUUACAGAGGGCAGUUAGAAGACAAAAGGAUGGAGAGGAACCUCAGAGACAUCUCAACAGGAGAUGGGAUAAUCAA